CCCUUAGAUGUUCUGGGCCGCACGCGCGCUACACUGAUGCACUCAACGAGUCUCACCUUGACCGAAAGGUCCGGGAAAUCUUCGAACUUGCAUCGUGAUGGGGAUAGAUUAUUGCAAUUAUUAGUCUUGAACGAGGAAUUCCUAGUAAGCACAAGUCAUCAGCUUGUGUUGAUUACGUCCCUGCCCUUUGUACACACCGCCCGUCGCUCCUACCGAUUGAAUGUUCCGGUGAAUACUUCGGACUGCGAGGUCUGCAGUUUCUGCGUUCCUUGCGGAAAGUUGAAUAAACCUUAACAUUUAGAGGAAGGAGAANUCGUANCA
rnacentral:rRNA from 1 species